rnacentral:rRNA from 1 species
GCACUGGGAUAGCCUCGGAACCGAGGUUAAUACCGGAUACUCCAUAUUUGUCGCAUGGCGAAUAUGGGAAAGCUCCGGCGGCAAAGGAUGGGCCCGCGGCCUGUUAGCUAGUUGGUGGGGUAGUGGCCUACCAAGGCAAUGAUGGGUAGCCGGGUUGAGAGACCGACCGGCCAGAUUGGGACUGAGACACGGCCCAGACUCCUACGGGAGGCAGCAGGC